AGGGCUCCUAACUUCCCAAAAUCAAGCAAGCAUAGUAAAAUAUGAUAUAGUAGAUAGGCACUGGAUUGAAAUAAUGUCCUAGCAAGGAAUCCAUUGUUUUUAAACUUCCUGAUUUCACAUUAUGUAAUUAGAACUGAUCUCCAGUUUCCUUGCUUGUGAAAAUUACAGGAUUGAAAACAAUCAUUCAUUCUUUAAGCUUCAGGCAGGUCCUUCAGGAGAUGUUCCAGAAGAAGGCAUUGCUAUCAUAGAUGAUGACAGCUCCAUGCAUGUUAUUGCCCCAGAAGAACUUUCAGCGGUACAAGAUGUGGAGUAGAGAAACAAACACCAAAUGCCAAGAGAGCUUCUACUGCUAUUGCAGAGGGAAGGCUUAAGAGACUGCAGAGAAAAAGAGAGCAGAAUGGCAUGGAGAAAUGAGAAGAAACACACACCAAGUCAACUCCAGGUUGAACUCUGGAUCAAAUAUGUCUGAAGUGUCAAUGGAAAAUUGAGCUUCGCCAUUCUCGUCCGUAGUAUAAUUUCCUAUAAAUUCAUCAUUGAGCUCCAGUUGCAACAACUUGUUCACCAUAGAUAGAGCCUUGCUCUGUCACUCGGGCUGGGGUGAAAUAGCCCAAUCUUGACUCACUGCAACCUCCGCCUCCCAGGUUCAAGCGAUUCUCCUGCAUCAGUCUCUCAAGUAGCUGGGAUUACAGACACCUGCCACCACGCCUGGCUAAUUUUUGUAUUUUUAGUAGAGAUGGGGUUUCUCCACGUUGGUCAGGCUGGUCUCGAUCUCCUGACCUCACGUGAUCUGCCCGCCUCGGCCUCCCAAAGUGCUGGGAUUACAGCUGUGAAUCACUGCACCUGGCCUCAAAGACUUCUUCUUUAUGCAACUGUUUGUCUCUUAUCUACCUAUGACCUGGAAACCCCCUUAGUUUGGAUUGUCCUGCCUUUCUGGACCGAACCAAUGUACAUCUUACACAUAUUUGUUGAUGUCUCACAUCUCCCUGAAAUGUAUAAAAGCAAGCUGUAGCCCAACCACCUUGGGCACAUGUUGGUAGGACCUCUGGAGGCUGUCAUAGGUACAUCCUUCACCUUGGCAACAUAAGCUUUGCAAAUUGAUUGACAUCUGUCUCAGAUACUUUUGGUUCACAGUGUUUUAAGAGGAAGAAAUUCUAAUCAUCUAGAAAGGCACUAAAACAGAUGGAACAGAAGCGCUCAGCACAUGUGUAACAACAAAACAAACACUUUUUAAGUCAUUCCAAGCUAAAUCCCAGAAAAGACUAAAGAAACACAGACACAGUAUCAUACAAUUUGAGACACAGUAUACAACUGACGUGAACCUUCUAGAAACAGUGCUCUCACAAUCUGCCCAGAAAUAACUUUGUAGCAAGCACAGCUCCAGUCUAGCUGCCUGGUCUCCUGGCAAGAUAUUAUUAUUGCUGAUACUGAUUUACUCCUAUGUAACUCUAUCCAGAAUACAAUAUCAAAGAAAUUUCAAGAAAUCAGGAUCAUGGAUUGUAACCUGACAUACUGCUAAGGAACUACCAGUUCCAUGUUAGCAUGUGGUUUGCAAGUAUUUUCCAAAGGCCAUGCUUGAGAAACAUUUUUGUUCUUCCAAUGUGUUGUGGGUUUUGUUUUUAGCAUACUAUCGUGCAGAUAAAUAAAUGAGAUGUUAAUGCCACUGAAAGCUCUGGCUUUGCGUUUGGCUUUUCUAGUGAAACCUGUUUAGUAUUCUGGAUUUCUUCCAACUUGAAUUUAUCACCUCAUCAUUUUUAACAUCAGUGAUCUACACAGUCUCUCAUCUAUUACGUAUAUUAAAUUCUGGUAUUUUCAACUACUCUUCAUUAAAACUUAGAAAAAAAUUUAUAAUCAUUUCCUAAAGUCAAAAGAAGAUUUGAAAUGCUACUGAAAAAAAAAAAAGAAGGCUGAAAACUGGUUUGCAAGAUUCUCUGGGGCAUCAAAGGCAUCUUAAGAACCACGCUUGCACGUUCAUUAGACAGCCCUUUAAUCAAUGUAUCUUUAAUAGACUGCUGGAAAUACUCAAAGGUAAAUCUCCUGAAGAAAUACUCACUUAGCACAUACAUCC
rnacentral:lncRNA from 1 species